GCAAAAAAACUAGUGUAUUUUGAAAAAUUUUGUAUAAGAAACUAGUAUAUUUUGGCCUAAUACAUUGUUUUAUUUACUAUUCUAAUAUUACAUGGGCUAGUACUCAAUCAACAAAACUUAAAAAAAUAUUUUCUCUACAAAAACAUGCAUGCAGACUAAUAUAUAAGAAAAAAAAUAUGAACAUAUAUGAAAUUAAUAUUUACCAACACUUAAUUUUUAUGUAUAUAUAUUAUGUAUAUAAAUUUACGAUAAAUGUUAACAAUAAUUACUCUCUUAGAAUAAACCAAUGGAAUACUUAUAAAUUGCCUAGAAUUAGGAGCAAGUAUUCUGAAUACGGAAUAGCAUACCGUGGACCGAAACUAUCGAACACAUUUAAAAAAACCAAACAUUUAAAUAAGAAAAAACCAAACUUAUUUAUGCUAACCUAGCAGGCACACACGUCCGCGGUUGUAUACGUCUAUACAACAGUCCGUAGGACGUUCUCAAGAUGUACAGCAGAUGUUCUCUGCCUGCCAGUAUAUAUAGUAUAUAUUACCAGUAUAUAUAGGUAUGUGCGUAUUAGUAUUUUACGGCACCGAAUUUAAAGUUGAAAUCUGUGAUUAGGUACCAACGAAUUUUUGUAUUUUUUUUUACAACAAUCAUUGUAUAUUUCAAAAACAAAUGACAUUUACAUGUCACCAGUUUAUAUAAAUGUCUAUUACACAAAUUUACAAUAUCUAAAGAACGUUAACAAUGCUUUUUCACGCAUGCGCGUUUGACAGCGAGUUAAAAUAAUUAAUCUAAAAAUUUGUGGUUUAUAAUUUAAAGUGCUAUUAACUCAAGCAUUUAAAACAUAAAUGUAAGGGAUACUAGGGACUUGCUUGUGGUUGUCGUUAAAAGUAUAUAUGAAUAUAUUAUAAUGAUACUAUGUAGCUGUAAGAAAACUUGCAGAAGACUAAGAGAAGUCUUUUCAUAGAGAACCUUUAAAAUACAAAAUAAACUAAAAAUUUAAAAAGUGACUUCAAUGUGAAGUUUCCUUUUCCUCGUGUGAUAUAUCUGUUGGCGUUGGUUUGAAAAAAGUUAUUAGUGAAAUGAGUUGGGGCAAGUCUGACCUUAUAUUUGAGCAUAAAUAAAAGAUUUUGGUAGAUGUUAGUUUAAUAGAUAUUUAAAGCAUUCAAGUUUUUAAAUAAAGAAUGGGCAUAAGUGAAUUUAUUUUUAUAAUAAACCAAUCUUGAUGCGUGUUUCUAGUGUAUAUAUAGAGAAUUUAAUUUAGAUUUAGUUGUACUUCCCCAGGUAGUAUGUUAGGUAACUUUGUAUAUAACCAUUUUUUAUUUUUCCAUUUUUUUAAAUAAAAUAUCAUGAUUAAUUGUAUCAAAUGCUUUGGAUAGGUCUAUAAAAGUUCCUAAUACAAAUUCCUUUUUAUUUGAAGAACUUGCUAUUAACUAAAUCUAAAAUUGCAUGUUUUGUUGAGUGCUGUGCUUGAAAGUCGAAUUGUUUUUUAUUUAAGAAAGUGUUUGAAUUAGGUAUUCAUAUAAUCUAUUGCAGAUUAUUCGUUCAAGUAUUUUGGAAAAGGUUGGCAGUAUUGAGAUUGGUCUGUAGUUGUUUAUUAGAAAUGUUUCACCGGUUUUAAAUAUAGGUACAAUUUUAGGUACUUUUGAUUUAUCUGGUACAGUUCCAGUUUUAACUUAUGAUUUAAAUAUUUCGAAAUUAGGUUUGCGUAUCUCCGAAAAGACAUUAACAACAAUAUUACUGCAAAUGUCAUCUUUACCUAAAGACUUAUUUAUUUUAAGAGAGUUUAUUGCAUUUUUGAGUUCAUUAAUAUUUAGUUCUUUAAAUAUUAAUUCGUUGUUGACGUUUCUGUAAACAGUAAACUGAUUGUUAAAACAGUUCUCGUUUUAAUUGCUUUU
rnacentral:lncRNA from 1 species